rnacentral:rRNA from 1 species
AACGAACGCUGGCGGCAUGCCUAACACAUGCAAGUCGAACGAGACCUUCGGGUCUAGUGGCGCACGGGUGCGUAACGCGUGGGAACCUGCACUUAGGUUCGGAAUAACUCCCCGAAAGGGGUGCUAAUACCGGAUAAUGUCUUCGGACCAAAGAUUUAUCGCCUUUGGAUGGGCCCGCGUUGGAUUAGCUAGUUGGUAGGGUAAAAGCCUACCAAGGCGACGAUCCAUAGCUGGUCUGAGAGGAUGAUCAGCCACACUGGGACUGAGACACGGCCCAGACUCCUACGGGAGGCAGCAGUGGGGAAUAGUGGACAAUGGGCGAAAGCCUGAUGCAGCAAUGCCGCGUGAGUGAUGAAGUCCUGAGGGUUGUAAAGCUCUUUUACCCGGGAUGAUAAUGACAGUACCGGGAGAAUAAGCUCCGGCUAACUCCGUG